GGUAGUGGGUUUAGGUUCUAGUCUUGGCACAAAAUAAGGUAGGGAUUUAGAAUAAAAUAAAUUAAAAGAGGUCGAGAAAAAUUCUAAUUCUAGGAAAACUAAUAAUUUUUUCAAGUUUAAGCAAACCAAAAUCCUGGGGUUACGCGAGUCCUAGCAUGCGUCAAAAUUUACAAAGUAAAAACAACGCGGGCUCUACUCAUGUGUUUAUCAUGAGAAACAAGUUAGGCUAAUCAUCAUGAUCAAGAUGAAAAGUCUGAUAGGAUCUAGAUAUUUGGUUCUGGUUUUCCAAGAAAAAACAAAUAAAACUUGGGAUGGCUCACAUUAUUGGUUUAUGAAAAAGAGAAUAAUAGAAAACGAACGAGCG
rnacentral:lncRNA from 1 species